rnacentral:tRNA from 1 species
AGGGACUAGAUACAUCAGACCAAGAGCCUUCAAAGCUCUAAGUAGAAGUGAAAAUCUUCUAGUCCCUG